rnacentral:rRNA from 1 species
GGAAUUGUUCGCAAUGGGCGAAAGCCUGACGACGCAACGCCGCGUGGAGGAUGAAGAUCUUCGGGUCGUAAACUCCUGUCGAAUGGGACGAAUAGGUUGCGGAUUAACAGUCCGCGAUCCUGACGGUACCGUUAAAGGAAACCCCGGCUAACUCCGUGCCAGCAGCCGCGGUAAUACGGGGGGGGUAAGCGUUGUUCGGAAUUACUGGGCGUAAAGGGCUCGUAGGCGGCCAACUAAGUCGGAUGUGAAAUCCCCAGGCUCAACCUGGGAACUGCAUCCGAUACUGGAUGGCUUGAAUCCGGGAGAGGGAUGCAGAAUUCCAGGUGUAGCGGUGAAAUGCGUAGAUAUCUGGAGGAAUACCGGUGGCGAAGGCGGCAUCCUGGACCGGCAUUGACGCUGAGGAGCGAAAGCCAGGGGAGCAAA